rnacentral:rRNA from 1 species
GACAGAGGAUGCAAGCGUUAUCCGGAAUGAUUGGGCGUAAAGCGUCUGUAGGUGGCUUUUUAAGUCCGCCGUCAAAUCCCAGGGCUCAACCCUGGACAGGCGGUGGAAACUACCAAGCUGGAGUACGGUAGGGGCAGAGGGAAUUUCCGGUGGAGCGGUGAAAUGCGCAGAUAUCAGGAGGAACACCGGUGGCGAAGGCGGUUCUCUGGGCAUUACCUGACGCUGAGGAGCGAAAGCAUGGGGAGCGAACAGG